rnacentral:lncRNA from 10 species
UUUGCAUCUCUGCAGUUAGUUUUACACAGUAUGGCUUUCAAGGGAAGUGUUACGAAGUGAGUGUUCCUCCCAGAUGAUGCCAAUUCUCAUCAUCAAGAUGGCUGCAGCCUGCAACAAUCUCCAGUGGGGUCAGCCACUUUGGAGGACAGGUGGGACACUAGCAAGGUAGAGAUGUCAUUGGUCAGCAGGGAAACCAUACAUAAAAUAAUUUCUUCUUUCAAUGAGCAUUCUUUCCCCCACUUGCCCCGCUGCUGGCUUCCUGGAGUGGCAGUCAAAGCCUUGGCACCAGCUCACUGGGCCCUGGAACUGCGCAUUGCUCAAGACUUUGGAAUGGCUUGGCAUCCUGUCAACAUGCACAUCUGGGUGUGCAGCUGGAUUCAGAAAUUUCCAGUGGACUCUGGCACUUGGCACAGUUUUAGCCCUUUUCACAUUGACUCGGGCUUGGGAGGGGUCACAGUAUAUCUUUUCUCAGUGAGUGCUUUUCAAUCCAUCAACAACUGUACCCAAGGAGGGAGAAGGAGCCUCUACUCACUCAGGCAUAGAAAGUGAGGUCAUGAUUAAGUUCAAUGAAUAAGCACAGCACAGAAAAUCCAGAUGUCUGUCAGCCAUGGGAUGACAUCUUCUAUCCACGAGCUACAGAAACUGAGAGAAGAGUGUUUGCAAGUCCCUCUGGUUGCAGAAGCAAGGUUCAUUGAUGGAGAAAGGGAUCUGAAGAUGGUAAAUUGACAGUUGAAGAAGAUAUAACUUCUUAUAUCUUCCACAAAGAGAAAAACCCUCAUAUGAGGAAACACCUGGGCUUGGAGUUCUGGCUCAGAAUUUAAAAUUUUCAAUCUAGUGUUAUAGACAUAUAGAAUAUUAG